CGGCCUACCAAGGCGACGAUGGGUAGCCGGCCUGAGAGGGUGUCCGGCCACACUGGGACUGAGAUACGGCCCAGACUCCUACGGGAGGCAGCAGUCGAGGAGCUUCGGCAAUGGGCGAAAGCCUGACCGAGCGACGCCGCGUGAGCGAAUGAAGGCCCUAUGGGUUGUAAAGCUCUGUCAGAUUGGGAAGAAAACCUCGCGGUUAAUACCCGCGAGGCUUGACGGUACCAUCAGAGGAAGCACCGGCUAACUCCGUGCCAGCAGCCGCGGUAAUACGGAGGGUGCAAGCGUUGUUCGGAUUCACUGGGUAUAAAGGGUGCGCAGGCGGCCUGAUAAGUCAGGGGUGAAAUAUGUCGGCUUAACCGGCAAACUGCCCCUGAAACUGCCAGGCUUGAGUCCGGGAGAGGUUAGUGGAAUUCCUGGUGUAGCGGUGAAAUGCGUAAAUAUCAGGAGGAACACCAAUGGCGAAGGCAGCUAACUGGCCCGGUACUGACGCUCAGGCACGAAAGCUAGGGAGCGAACAGGAUUAGAUACCCUGGUAGUCCUAGCCGUAAACGAUGGGCACUAGGUGUUGGAGGAGUCUACUCCUUCAGUGCCGCAGCUAAUGCAUUAAGUGCCCCACCUGGGGAGUACGAUCGCAAGGUUGAAACUCAAAGGAAUAGACGGGGGCCCGCACAAGCGGUGGAGCAUGUGGUUUAAUUCGAUGCAACGCGAAGAACCUUACCUGGACUUGACAUGCAGGGGACAGGUGCAGAAAUGUACCCUUCUUCGGACCCCUGUGCAGGUGCUGCAUGGCUGUCGUCAGCUCGUGUCGUGAAAUGUUGGGUUAAGUCCCGCAACGAGCGCAACCCCUGUCUUCAGUUGCCAUCAGUCUGGCUGGGGACUCUGGAGAGACUGCCGGUGACAAACCGGAGGAAGGUGGGGACGACGUCAAGUCGUCAUGGCCCUUACGUCCAGGGCUACACACGUGCUACAAUGGUCGGUACAAUGGGCUGCGAUACCGUGAGGUGGAGCGAAUCCCAAAAAGCCGGCCUCAGUUCGGAUUGAAGUCUGCAACUCGACUUCUUGAAGCCGGAAUCGCUAGUAAUCGCGUAUCAGAACGACGCGGUGAAUACGUUCCCGGGCCUUGUACACACCGCCCGUCAAGUCAACCGAGUUGGCUGCACCCCAAGUCGCUGAGCUAACCCGUAAGGGAGGCAGGUGCCCAAGGUGUGGUUGGCGAGGGGGACUAAGUCG
rnacentral:rRNA from 1 species